CCUAAGGUAGCGAAAUUCCUUGUCGGGUAAGUUCCGACCUGCACGAAUGGCGUAACGACUUCCCCACUGUCUCGACCAGGAGCUCGGCGAAAUUGCAGUACGAGUAAAGAUGCUCGUUAAGCGCAGAAGGACGAAAAGACCCCGGGACCUUUACUAUACCUUGGUAUUGGCAUUCGGUGUGGAUUGUGUAGCAUAGGCGGGAGGCCGAGAGGCGCGGUCGCCAGAUCGCGCGGAGCCGUAAGGUGAAAUACCGCUCUGUUCGCAUUGGAUGUCUAACCUCGAACAGUCAUCCUGUUCAGGGACAGUGCCUGGCGGGUAGUUUAACUGGGGCGGUUGCCUCCCAAAGAGUAACGGAGGCGCCCAAAGGUCCGCUCAGCCCGGUUGGCAAUCGGGUGGCGAGUGCAAGUGCACAAGCGGGCUUGACUGCGAGGACGACGGUCCGAGCAGGGACGAAAGUCGGGACUAGUGAUCCGGUGCCGGUGUACGGACGCGGCAUCGCUCAACGGAUAAAAGGUACCCCGGGGAUAACAGGCUGAUCAUUCCCAAGAGUCCAUAUCGACGGGAUGGUUUGGCACCUCGAUGUCGGCUCGUCGCAUCCUGGGGCUGGAGCAGGUCCCAAGGGUUCGGCUGUUCGCCGAUUAAAGCGGCACGCGAGCUGGGUUCAGAACGUCGUGAGACAGUUUGGUCUCUAUCCUCUGCGCUCGUUGGAAUCCUGAGGAGGCCUGCCCAUAGUACGAGAGGACCUGGGUGGACGAACCUCUGGUAUGCCGGUUGUCGCGCCAGCGGCACGGCCGGUUGGCUACGUUCGGGAGGGAUAACCGCUGAAAGCAUCUAAGCGGGAAGCCUGCUCCAAGAUAAGCAUUCCGUGGAACCUUCGAGUUCCUGUAGUCCCCAUGCAGAACACGUGGUCGAUAGGCCGGACGUGGAAGCCCCGCGAGGGGUGGAGCCGACCGGUACUAACGGACGAAAGGCAACACUAA
rnacentral:rRNA from 1 species